rnacentral:snRNA from 1 species
UGAUGCGAAGGGAAUCUGGCUGCAACUCUUGUCACCCCACUGAUCUCCAGGGUUGAUUCAGCUGAUCCCACUGGCUAGGUGCGUGUUCCCUUCCUCCCAACUCCUGGUGCAUCUCUCCUGAAGCUGCACACUGGUGGAAGAGGUCGAUCUUCCCAGACAGAGGAGGACUAUUCUCAUCAAGGGUGGAGUAGUAGCUGUGCUCCACUGCUAAACCCUCCAAACACAUCAUAUUCUUAUGUGUCAAAAAAAGGUUCAAAGAAAAGCACAACUCAGAAGUUUCAUGAUUUAUCAAAAUUUAAA